rnacentral:rRNA from 1 species
CCUACGUGAGGCAGCAGUGAGGAAUAUUGGUCAAUGGGCGGAAGCCUGAACCAGCCAAGUCGCGUGAGGGAAUAAGGCCCUACGGGUCGUAAACCUCUUUUGCCGGGGAGCAAGGGCCGGGACGAGUCCCGGUCCGGAGAGUACCCGGAGAAAAAGCAUCGGCUAACUCCGUGCCAGCAGCCGCGGUAAUACGGAGGAUGCGAGGGUUAUCCGGAUUGAUUGGGUUAAAGGGGUGCGUAGGCGGGCUUUUGAGUCAGCGGUAAAAAUUCGGGGCUCAAACCCGUCCGGCCGUUGAAACUGGGGGCCUUGAGUGGGCGAGAAGAAGGCGGAAUGCGUGGUGUAGCGGUGAAAUGCAUAGAUAUCACGCAGAACCCCGAUUGCGAAGGCAGCCUUCCGGCGCCCUACUGACGCUGAGGCACGAAAGUGCGGGGAUCGAACAGGAUUAGAUACCCGUGUAGUC